AAAAAAUGAAAUCAUUAGAUGUUUCACUUACAAUGAAAAUUUGUAUUAAAUUACCAUUUUUUU
rnacentral:tRNA from 1 species